AUGUACCUACGGGGCGCAGCAAUAGGGAAUCUUCCACAAUGGACGAAAGUCUGAUGGAGCAACGCCGCGUGAGUGAAGAAGGGUUUCGGCUCGUAAAGCUCUGUUGGGAGUGAAGAAAGAUAGAGGUAGUAACUGGCCUUUAUUUGACGGUAAUUACUUAGAAAGUCACGGCUAACUACGUGCCAGCAGCCGCGGUAAUACGGGGGAUCCGAGCGUUAUCCGGAUUUAUUGGGUUU
rnacentral:rRNA from 1 species